rnacentral:lncRNA from 10 species
CACGGAAGCAGAAGGGCAUUGACCUGUGAGAUUUCCAAUGCACAGACAUGGCUUGCUCUUUCUCAAGCAGAGGCAAAGGAUGUCGGUGCUAUUGACAGUCCUGGGCAUGAAUCUUUCGGACUGCAAAUGCCCGCUGAAUAUGGACUCCAACGGUGCCCUAGGGGAUGGUGGAGCCACCAGAUGGAAGGAGCCUGGUGAUCCCGAGAAGGAGAGAUGCCUCGCUGACCUGAACAUCUUUCCAGAACUGUUAAAUGAAGCCUGCAGGACACCAGCUGACAGUGGAAGGACUGAGGAAGGUUGUAUAAUUUUGUGCAAGGUCCACCACAAAUCCAGCUGAAGAACUGCUCCAAAGUUUAGGUCAUGGCAAGAACAAGAUGUAAACUUGACUGGAUUAAGGAUUCCCUAAAGUGUCAGGCCUCUGAGCCCAAGCUAAGCCAUCAUAUCCCCUGUGACCUGCAUGUACACAUCCAGAUGGCCGGUUCCUGCCUUAACUGACGACAUUCCACCACAAAAGAAGUGAAAAUGGCCUGUUCCUGCCUUAACUGAUGACAUUAUCUUGUGAAAUUCCUUCUCCUGGCUCAUCCUGGCUCCAAAGCUCCCCCACUGAGCACCUUGUGACCCCCACUCCUGCCCACCAGAGAACAACCCCCUUUGACUGUAAUUUUCCUUUACCUUCCCAAAUCUUAUAAAAUGGCCCCACCCCAUCUCCCUUUGCUGACUUUCUUUUCAGACUCAGCCCUCCUGCAACCAGUUGAUUAAAAGCUUUAUUGCUCA